UGGGGAAUCUUCCGCAAUGGACGAAAGUCUGACGGAGCAACGCCGCGUGUAUGAUGAAGGUCUUCGGAUUGUAAAGUACUGUCAUUGGGGAAGAACGGUUUUCUUGAAAAGAUUGAGAAGACAUGACGGUACCCAAGGAGGAAGCCCCGGCUAACUACGUGCCAGCAGCCGCGGUAAUACGUAGGGGGCAAGCGUUNUCCGGAAUUAUUGGGCGUUAAAGGGCGCGUAGGCGGGCCUUUAAGUCCGGUGUGAAAGAUCAGGGCUCAACCCUGAGAGUGCAUCGGAAACUGGAGGCCUUGAGGACAGGAGAGGAAAGUGGAAUUCCACGUGUAGCGGUGAAAUGCGUAGAUAUGUGGAGGAACACCAGUGGCGAAGGCGACUUUCUGGACUGUAACUGACGCUGAGGCGCGAAAGCGUGGGGAGCAAACAGGAUUAGAUACCCUGGUAGUCCACGCCGUAAACGAUGAGUGCUAGGUGUAGAGGGUAUCGACCCCCUUCUGUGCCNCAGUUAACACAAUAAGGNACUCCCGCCUGGGGAGUACGGCCNCAAGGUUGAAACUCAAAGGAAUUGACGGGGGCUCAUAGCUGUUUUUCC
rnacentral:rRNA from 1 species